UAGGGAAUCUUCCGCAAUGGGCGAAAGCCUGACGGAGCAACGCCGCGUGAGUGAUGAAGGUCUUCGGAUCGUAAAACUCUGUUAUUAGGGAAGAACAAAUGUGUAAGUAACUAUGCACGUCUUGACGGUACCUAAUCAGAAAGCCACGGCUAACUACGUGCCAGCAGCCGCGGUAAUACGUAGGUGGCAAGCGUUAUCCGGAAUUAUUGGGCGUAAAGCGCGCGUAGGCGGUUUUUUAAGUCUGAUGUGAAAGCCCACGGCUCAACCGUGGAGGGUCAUUGGAAACUGGAAAACUUGAGUGCAGAUGAGGAAAGUGGAAUUCCAUGUGUAGCGGUGAAAUGCGCAGAGAUAUGGAGGAACACCAGUGGCGAAGGCGACUUUCUGGUCUGUAACUGACGCUGAUGUGCGAAAGCGGGGGGAUCAAACAGG
rnacentral:rRNA from 1 species